ACAUUAAGUGUGGAUUGUGAUUCACGUUUAAGUAGGACGAUCAAUUGUGUCUAUGCAUUGAUUCACCCACACAGAGUACAUGAUAUACACACACUGGAGCAGUUACAGAGAGCCUGAUGGAAGUGGCACGCAGGCCAGGGCGUGCUCCAUGAUCCUAUAAUCUAGGAGUCUAUGUUUUUAAGGCGUCGCUUAGGCGACGCCUAGGCGUCAGGGCGCCCUCUAGGCUCAGGGCGUCGGCCUUGCCUUAGACAGUUGCGUAAGGCAUCCGCCUUAGGCUGUAAGGCGUCUGAAGCGUCCGCCUUAGCGCCGCCUUGCACGCCUCAGACCAAAUCAGAUGCCUUAGCUUGUCAGGCAGGGAAACAGAGAUUGCAGGCGGGAAAACUGACCUGGGCGGGAACACAGGCGCGGGAAACAUUGGUUCAGGUGCGACCAGUUAUGAGAAGGGGAAAGAGAGAGUGAAUCAACGCGAGAGGUCUCUCCUGUCUCCUCUCUGGACCAUUGACGGAGGCUUCCUCCUCAGAUCUGCGGCAGCCGCCAGCCUCCUCCCUCCGGCCACAGUUCCUUCCCCUCCUCUCCGGCUGCAGCUCCUCCCCAUCCUCCUCUGGCGCAACCCUCUUCCAGCAGAUCAGCACCACAUCAAAUAGCCAGGUGUACCUGCUCUGAUGGAUCUAGCCAAUGAUCCUAGGAGAAGAGCUACAUCAGAUGAUCCAGCCUGGAAGUAUGGGUUCUGGCCAGAUUUAGAGAGGAAAGAUUUACUCCAGUGUACAUUGUGUGGCAAGAUAGUCCAUGGUGGAGUGAGAAGGCUAAAGCAACACUUUUCUGGGGGUUCCAGUGAUGCGGAUAAGUGUCCUGAGGCAUCCAUGGAGAUUAGGAUAGAGAUGCACAAUUCCUUAAACACUAGAAAGUUUAAAGCUAUGGAGCGAUAUAUUGAUGAGGAGGAUGAAGCUGAACUUCAAAGGCGACGUUCUGUCAUAUACACAUGAUGAUUUGAGGCCUAUGCUUUGGUAACAGUUUAUAUGUUAACGUUAAUUGUUAAAUCUCCUAAUUGGUUGCCAUCUAUUAUAUAUGUAUGUACAAUUUAUUAAGUUAA